AAUGGCCAGCCUGACACCCCAGCCACAUUUUUACCCUCAGUUCGGAGGCUCGCCCUCCCGGACCUCGGAAAGGUCAACCUCACCCAGAGUGACGUGAAAACGGGCAUUCAGGGAGAGCCCCACCUUGCCCUGGCAGCUUGAGCUGGUGUGUGUUCUGAAGAGCAAGACAUUCCCACCCUCACCCUUUUAGCAGCCUUCCUCCCCCUGGGCCAAUUCCCAGAAGCGAGCCUGGGUCAGGCCUGGCACUAUCGUCAUACGGAUGAGGCAACUGAAGCACAGAGAAGGAAUUGCACAUCGCCACAAAACACAGAUAAUCAUCUCUCCGCAGCUCCCUGGGAGAAGGGUACAGUUGUCACCUGCCUGGACCCUCAGCCGCGGGUUGGGCCUUGGUCGCCUCUCCCCAGGACCAAGUGCUAGGAGAAUGUCCCACAAACCUCAUUCUACAACAACUCACUCCCUCACUAUUUUCACAGCUGCCAUAAAUGCACGCCCUCCCCCCCCCCAACACUCUCUCCAAUCUUCAAGUGCUCCAA